rnacentral:rRNA from 1 species
CGGCAGGCUUAACACAUGCAAGUCGAACGCGUGUAGCAAUACACGAGUGGCGCACGGGUGAGUAAACGCGUGGAUAUCUGCCUUUGUUCGGAAUAACCCGGAAACUGGGGCUAAUACCGGAUGGUCCUUCGGGAUAAAGAUUUAUCGCCAAAAGAUGAGUCCGCGUACGAUUAGCUAGUUGGUGAGGUAAUGGCUCACCAAGGCGACGAUCGUUAGCUGGUCUGAGAGGAUGAUCAGCCACACUGGGACUGAGACACGGCCCAGACUCC